ACCCCAGACCUCGGUUUCUUUGCCCUGUGAACUCCUCAUAAAUUUAUUAUUUCCUCGCCUAAAAAGUGUGAAAGGGAGCUCCCUGGUGGCUCAGUGGGUUGAGGAUCCAGUGCUGUCACUGCUGUGGUGUGGGUUUGAUCCCUGGCUCAGGAACUUCCAUAUGCCCUGGAUGCAGCCAAAAAAAAACAAAAAAAAAAACAAAAACAAAAAAAACAAAAAAAAGAAGAAAAAGAAAAAGAAAAAAGAAAAAAAAAGAAAAUUAAGAUAUCUCGGAGUUCCCUGGUGGCUCAGAGCAUUGAGGACACAGUGUUGUCACUGCUGUGUCUCUGGUUACUGCUGUGGCACAGGAUUGACCCCUGGCCCAGAAACUUCUAUAUGCCACAGGAGUGGCCAGGAAAAAAAUUACAUUAUAUAACUCGCAAUGGAAGGAAUCAUAUUAAAAACAGAGGCAAUACAUUCUCAAAACCGAUCUCAGAAAAGCAGACUGGUAUUUGCUGUGGGGGAGGGAGUGGGAUGGACUGGGAGUUUGGGGUUAAUAGAUACAAACUAUUCUAUUACAUUUAGAAUAGAUAAGCAAUGAGGUCCUGCUAUACAGCACAGGGAACUAUAGCCAAUCACUUGUGAUAGAACAUGAGAGAAGAUAAUAUGAUAAAAAGAAUGUAUAUCUAGGUAUGAUGGGGUCACUUUGCUGUACAGCAGAAAUGGACAGAACAUUGUAAAUCAACUCUAAUAAGAAAAUUAAAAAAAAAAACCUAUCUCAAAAAAAAAGGAGGUGUAAAGUUUAAAUGUUUUCAUUUGCAGCUCCUGGUUCUGUGUGAGGCCUGAGGACUUCCAUAUAUGAGAACUCAGCACAUCCAGAGGCUCUCUGGGGCCACCUGCAGCCAGUUCAUUCUCCUGGAGAGAAAGACCCAAACCUACAGCCUUCGUGCCACAUGCUCUGCUCUGGGAUCUGGUGACACGAAGAUCCAUCACCACCUCCACCUGCAAGGGGCGUCACAGCUCAGCAGGCAGCCCUGGUGCCUCCGGCCCUCCUGCAGGGCUCAGGGAAGACUACAGCCCGAGAGCCCACUGCUCAGUUCGCGCUGGGGAACUGCUCCGAAGAGGUAGGGCAGAGGCCAGUUUAUAUAUGAUUUGGGGCGGCGGGGGGGACUAGGAAAUACAUACAGUCAAGCAUACAUCUUGGUCAAAGAUUACUGCUAAUCACAAAGAACAGACAUCUCAAGUUAAUGACUUUAGGGCUUUUCUGUGGAUGACAAGAGGCCGGAAUCUGGGGUCCCUGGAAUUCUUCCAAGAGAUGCAUCUAACUAACUAUCCAGGGGCCCCGUUACCAAAGCCCAGGUGGCUCUGGUUUUCCAUUAGGAACGCCUUUUAGGGGCACUGUCUGGGGCCACUGCCCGGCCUUGGGACUUAACCCUUGCGGAUCUGGGUGGUGAACGUCUCUUCUUAUUCUUUGUUCACGAACCUAUGAUCAUUUUUGAUCCCUUUCAGCGUCUGUCCCAAUCUUCCUUGCUGAGGCCUGAAUUAUAAAACAAUCCCUUCCUUUUUGAAAUCAGGUUGUCGACCAAGCAGAACUCCUCCGGAGCUAGAAUCAAGGUCAAGAACUACCGCUUGACCUUGUUCAUGCUCUUCCUGGGAAGCCUGCUCCACGGGNNNNNNNNNNNNNNNNNNNNNNNNNNNNNNNNNNNNNNNNNNNNNNNNNNNNNGGGUGCGUGUGAUAAGCAACAGAAAGCGCCAUGAAAACCAAAUCUCAGGUCUCCACGCAGUCAUUAAAAUGACCAUGUCCCAGGGGAAAAUCAAAACAGAACGGACGCUUCUCCAGGUGUGGUCAGCUCCUCCUUUCCCCCUCCCCUCCACCAACCCAGCUGGCAGACUGGGCUUGGAGGGAGUGGAGGAAGGGGGCUGAGAGCUCUUCGCAUUCUUUUUUCAUUUUCCUUUUUGGCCGCCCCACAGCCUAUGGAAUUUCCAGGGCCGGGGUCACAUCUGAGCCACAGGUUUGACCUACACCGCAGCUGCGGCAAUGCUGGAGCCUUUAACCCACUGUGCCAAGCCAGGGAUAGAACC
rnacentral:lncRNA from 1 species